ACGGGGGAAAGCGGAGGACCGCAAGGCUUCGCACUAUCGGAGUGGCCGAUGUCGGAUUAGCUAGUUGGCGGGGUAACGGCCCACCAAGGCGACGAUCCGUAGCUGGUCUGAGAGGACGAUCAGCCACACUGGAACUGAGACACGGUCCAGACUCCUACGGGAGGCAGCAGUGGGGAAUUUUGGACAAUGGGCGCAAGCCUGAUCCAGCCAUGCCGCGUGAGUGAAGAAGGCCUUCGGGUUGUAAAGCUCUUUCGGUGGGGACGAAAAGGUUCGUGCUAAUACCACGGACUAAUGACGGUACCCGAAGAAGAAGCACCGGCUAACUACGUGCCAGCAGCCGCGGUAAUACGUAGGGUGCAGGCGUUAAUCGGAAUUACUGGGCGUAAAGCGUGCGCAGGCGGUUUGUUAAGACAGAUGUGAAAUCCCCGGGCUUAACCUGGGAACUGCGUUUGUAACUGGCAAGCUAGAGUGUGGCAGAGGGGGGUGGAAUUCCAAGUGUAGCAGUGAAAUGCGUAGAUAUUUGGAGGAACACCGAUGGCGAAGGCAGCCCCCUGGGCUAACACUGACGCUCAUGCACGAAAGCGUGGGGAGCAAACAGGAUUAGAUACCCUGGUAGUCC
rnacentral:rRNA from 1 species